CCCCGCCCGCCGGCCCUGGCCCGGUCUCGCCUCGCCCCGGGUUCGCCGCGCCACCACCGCCAGCAGCCGCAGCAGCGGAGGCAGCGGCGCGCCCCGCCACCAUGAAGGUGACCGUGGACUUCGAGGAGUGCCUGAAGGACUCGCCGCGCUUCAGGGCAGCUUUAGAAGAGGUAGAAGGAGAUGUGACAGAGCUGGAACUGAAACUUGACAAGCUGGUGAAGCUUUGUAUUGCAAUGAUUGACACUGGGAAAGCAUUUUGUACAGCCAACAAACAGUUCAUGAAUGGAAUUCGAGACCUUGCACAAUAUUCCUGUAAAGAUUCAUUGGUUGAGACCAGUUUGAUGAAGUUCUCUGACACUUUACAGGAAAUGAUCAAUUAUCAUAAUAUUCUGUUUGACCAGAUCCAAAGAUCAAUUAAAACACAGCUUCAGACUUUCGUUAAAGAAGAUAUUAGGAAAUUUAAAGAUGCAAAGAAACAAUUUGAAAAAGUGAGUGAAGAAAAGGAGAAUGCCCUGGUGAAAAAUGCCCAAGUUCAAAGAAAUAAGCAACACGAGGUAGAGGAGGCAACCAAUAUUUUGACUGCAACUCGGAAGUGUUUUCGACACAUAGCUCUGGAUUAUGUUCUUCAGAUCAAUGUUCUUCAAUCUAAAAGGAGAGCAGAAAUCCUAAAAUCGAUGUUAUCAUUUAUGUAUGCACAUCUGGCUUUUUUCCAUCAAGGCUAUGAUCUGUUUAGUGAACUUGAGCCCUACAUGAAAGAUCUUGGUGCACAGCUGGAUCAGUUGGCUGUAGAUGCUGCAAAGGAGAAGAGAGAUAUGGAGCAAAAGCACUCCACUAUUCAACAAAAGGAUUAUUCCAGUGAUGAUACUAAACUAGAAUACAAUGUAGAUGCAGCCAAUGGCAUUGUUAUGGAAGGUUAUUUAUUCAAGCGAGCCAGCAAUGCCUUCAAGACUUGGAACAGGCGCUGGUUCUCAAUACAAAAUAACCAACUUGUCUACCAGAAGAAGUUUAAGGAUAAUCCCACGGUGGUUGUUGAAGACUUGAGGCUCUGCACAGUUAAGCACUGUGAAGACAUAGAGAGACGUUUCUGUUUUGAGGUGGUUUCUCCAACAAAGAGCUGCAUGCUUCAGGCUGACUCGGAAAAGCUGCGGCAGGCUUGGAUUAAGGCUGUUCAGACCAGUAUUGCCACAGCAUAUAGAGAAAAAGGGGAUGAAUCUGAGAAACAGGAAAAGAAAUCAUCCCCUUCUACUGGGAGCCUAGAAUCUGGGAGUGAGACAAAAGAGAAGCUGUUGAAAGGAGAGAGUGCUCUGCAGCGAGUGCAGUGCAUUGCUGGUAAUGCUGCCUGCUGUGACUGUGGUUUGGCAGAUCCUCGCUGGGCCAGUAUCAACCUGGGGAUCACACUGUGCAUCGAGUGCUCUGGGAUACACAGGAGCCUAGGAGUCCACUUUUCAAAAGUAAGAUCUUUAACGUUGGAUUCAUGGGAACCUGAACUCCUAAAGCUUAUGUGUGAAUUGGGAAAUGACGUUAUAAAUAGAAUAUAUGAAGCAAAGUUGGAAAAAAUGGGAGUAAAGAAGCCACAAUCUGGAAGUCAAAGGCAGGAGAAGGAGGCAUACAUCAGAGCAAAAUAUGUGGAAAGGAAGUUUGUAGAGAAGCAAGCUUCAUCAGUACCUCUGCCUGAGCCUGGAACAAAAGUUUUGCCUCCAAGUCAGGAAGAGAAAAGGCACAGUGGCCCUGAAAAAUCCCUUUUGGCAGGGGAACAAGGUGCAGCAUCCCAAAAAGUCCGAAGCAGUGACAGUGGGAUCCAGCCGAGCACUGAUGACAGCAGAGAACACCUUGCCUCUACUAUAUCAGCCAACAGUUUGUAUGAACCAGAAGGAGACAAGCAAGAGUCUCCAGUGUUCUGUGACUCCAAGCAGCCUAGUCCAGGAUUGCAGUUGUAUCAAGCUGCCUUUGAGAAAAAUCUUCCUCACAUGGCAGAAGCAUUGGCUCAUGGAGCUGAAGUAAACUGGGUCAACGUGGAAGAAAACAAAGCCACACCACUCAUUCAGGCAGUGAGAGGGGGUUCAUUGGUUACUUGUGAAUUUUUGCUGCAGAAUGGGGCCAACGUGAACAUCCGAGACAUGAAAGGAAGGGGGCCCCUGCACCAUGCCACAGUUCUGGGACACACUGGACAAGUGUGCUUAUUCCUAAAACGAGGAGCAAACCAGCAUGCCACUGAUGAAGAUGGGAAAGAUCCAUUGAGUAUAGCAGUGGAAGCUGCAAAUGCAGAUAUUGUUACACUGUUGCGUUUAGCAAGGAUGAAUGAAGAAAUGCGUGAAUCAGAAGGACUCUAUGGGCAGCCAGGUUGAGUGCCGAGUACUCUCAGUUGACUCCUAUAAAGCCCUUAUGUGUUUUCCACUGAGGAACUGGGCAGGGGGCAUGUUACCAAAUUGGAGCAGUAGAAUCUAGAGGCUGCAGCUGAUGCAAUCUGAUCCUGACACUUUACAGCUGGAGAUGAAAUUUAUCAGGACAUUUUUCGUGAUUUUUCUCAAAUGGCAUCAAAUAAUCCAGAGAAGUUAAACCGCUUCCAGCAGUCAGAUUCCCAGAAGUCUUAAGUGUCAAGAAGGAAAAGAACCUGAAGCUUAUAGUGCAAGUCUUUUUUUACUUUAACAGAAUGAAUUGUAUGCAUUUUGUUAGAUAGUUUGGAUAAAAUGACCACUCCAAUGUAGCUUUAGAUUGUGGUAGCUGGGGAAGUGUAUGAGUUGGUUUAUGUUCUCCAGUACAUAUACCUCAGCAGCUGAAGAUGUUUCAAGCCCCUGAGUCCCUGCUAGCUGAGUGUAAAGCAGCCCCUGCUCCAUGGCCAGCGUUUGCAGCUCGCACUCAGGGCUGGCAGAGCCCGGCUGGAGCGCCGCGGGCUCCGGCUGCAGGGUGCUCACAGCGGCUCUGCUGCCCAGGGCCAUCACUGUCAUCUGUCCCCCUGUCACCAUAAAGAAUGUGCCUCUGACAAGAAGGUCUGGGUUGCAUUUUCUGGGACUGUUUGGAAGGGAAUUUGGGCAAUGAUUUACUGAGUUGUCCUUCCAUUUGUGGGACUGCAGCUCAACCGAUUCUCUUGUUCCUGCAGUGACUCUGGUUAGAGGUAGGCUAUUCUUCACAGAUAGCUCCUGCUCUUUUGCAAGCUCUUUCACAGUGGAAGCUCUAGCACCAGGCUGGCCUUUAUGCUGGUGACUGCAGGUCAGUCACAAAGGGAUAUAUCCUGAGGACCAAAUUCCUAAGAGCAGUCCAUUUUCCUUUUUUUUUUUCUUUUCCUCUUAAAUUAAACUUUCAGUGCAGCAAGUAUCCUUCUAAAUGAGCAUGUGGAACCUUUCAUGAAAAAUAAACUUAAUCCUUUUGGACGUGA